rnacentral:rRNA from 1 species
GACGAACGCUGGCGGCGUGCCUAAUACAUGCAAGUCGAGCGCAGGAAAUCGACGGAACCCUUCGGGGGGAAGUCGACGGAAUGAGCGGCGGACGGGUGAGUAACACGUAAAGAACCCGCCCUCAGGUCUGGGAUAACCACGAGAAAUCGGGGCUAAUACCGGAUGGGUCAUCGGACCGCAUGGUCCGAGGAUGAAAGGCGCUCCGGCGCCGCCUGGGGAUGGCUUUGCGGUGCAUUAGCUAGUUGGUGGGGUAAUGGCCCACCAAGGCGACGAUGCAUAGCCGACCGGAGAGGGUGAUCGGCCACACUGGGACUGAGACACGGCCCAGACUCCUACGGGAGGCAGCAGUAGGGAAUCUUCCACAAUGGACGAAAGUCUGAUGGAGCAACGCCGCGUGAACGAUGAAGGCCUUCGGGUCGUAAAGUUCUGUUGUAAGGGAAGAACAAGUGCCGCAGGCAAUGGCGGCACCUUGACGGUACCUUGCGAGAAAGCCACGGCUAACUACGUGCCAGCAGCCGCCGUAAAAC